CGCGAUCCCUGCGGAGCCGCUGAUGUGCCAACCGAGGCAUGGCGACGCAGUGCAGAACGAACUACUUUCUCCAUCCCACACCUUAGAAUGGUAAGAUGGAAUCCAGGCAAAUGAAUCCCAAAACAGCACUCUCAGAAGACUGGGAUAUCUAGGCAGGUUUGCACGAGAAUGCAGACUUGUGGUCACGACGUGCCCUCCAUCACUUUCCACCUAAUUUUCUGACACAAGGCCUUGCUGGGACCCGGAGUUUACGGAUUGGCUAGUUUAGCUGGCGAGUUGAGCUGAGCUUCCGGAGUCUCCUUGUCUCCACCUCCCAGCACUGGCUUUGCAGGGAACCGGCAGCCGUGCACAGGCAAGCCAAGCUUAAAAUCCGCACCCCUCCCUGCUUCUAUUGUCAUUGUUUCUGGAUCAGGGGAAUAAAACAGAAGGACGCGGAGAGGAAGACAAAAGGGAAAGCCUGCGACUUGAGUUACAGAACUGCAGGAAACCAACCACACUAAAUCGGCAGAGCUGAAAGUCCCAUUCAGCUUCAAAAUAGUGCACCUGAUAGAGUUUCACAAACCCUUCUACCUUCCUGCCCGCUGCGGGUUUUUAAAUACCUUUACCCAAAGCCAGAGGGAUGCUCACGCCCUUUUCUUUGCGUCCCCGAGUUCUCCCGGUUUAUGAAGAACCAGAAAGGGGGACGGGCGUUGGAAAAGGAGGCUGAGAGGUUGACUCCUCGAGUGUGUUCUUCCCUGAGGUGCUUUGUAAAGAACUGAAAAGAUGCUGGAGUCGCUGCCGUCUAAGAGCUGCUUCGGAAUUCUCUCUAGGUCGCCUCCAGUCUCUGUUGGCUCUAGCCCGCCUUUGUUCCAGCCCCAAGUUUGGGCCUCUUGGAAAUAAAUAUGUCAGCCAGUUUCGUUGCAUGUUAUCAAAAAGCUUACAAUUACAGUGUUUUAGUUUAAUGAAUAAUUCCUUCCUUCGACGAAUAAACCAAGA